UGCAGUCGAGCGGAUGAAGGGAGCUUGCUCCUGGAUUCAGCGGCGGACGGGUGAGUAAUGCCUAGGAAUCUGCCUGGUAGUGGGGGAUAACGUCCGGAAACGGGCGCUAAUACCGCAUACGUCCUGAGGGAGAAAGUGGGGGAUCUUCGGACCUCACGCUAUCAGAUGAGCCUAGGUCGGAUUAGCUAGUUGGUGGGGUAAAGGCCUACCAAGGCGACGAUCCGUAACUGGUCUGAGAGGAUGAUCAGUCACACUGGAACUGAGACACGGUCCAGACUCCUACGGGAGGCAGCAGUGGGGAAUAUUGGACAAUGGGCGAAAGCCUGAUCCAGCCAUGCCGCGUGUGUGAAGAAGGUCUUCGGAUUGUAAAGCACUUUAAGUUGGGAGGAAGGGCAGUAAGUUAAUACCUUGCUGUUUUGACGUUACCAACAGAAUAAGCACCGGCUAACUUCGUGCCAGCAGCC
rnacentral:rRNA from 1 species